UUAAGCGACUAAGCGUACACGGUGGAUGCCCUGGCAGUCAGAGGCGAUGAAGGACGUGCUAAUCUGCGAAAAGCGUCGGUAAGGUGAUAUGAACCGUUAUAGCCGGCGAUGUCCGAAUGGGGAAACCCAGUGCAAUUCGUUGCACUAUCGUUAACUGAAUACAUAGGUUAACGAGGCGAACCGGGGGAACUGAAACAUCUAAGUACCCCGAGGAAAAGAAAUCAACCGAGAUUCCCCCAGUAGCGGCGAGCGAACGGGGAGCAGCCCAGAGUCUGAAUCAGCUUGUGUGUUAGUGGAACGGUCUGGAAAGUCCGACGGUACAGGGUGAUAGUCCCGUACACCAAAAUGCACAGGUUGUGAACUCGAAGAGUAGGGCGGGACACGUGGUAUCCUGUCUGAAUAUGGGGGGACCAUCCUCCAAGGCUAAAUACUCCUGACUGACCGAUAGUGAACCAGUACCGUGAGGGAAAGGCGAAAAGAACCCCGGCGAGGGGAGUGAAAAAGAACCUGAAACCGUGUACGUACAAGCAGUGGGAGCACCUUCGGGUGUGACUGCGUACCUUUUGUAUAAUGGGUCAGCGACUUAUAUUCUGUAGCAAGGUUAACCGUAUAGGGGAGCCGCAGGGAAACCGAGUCUUAACUGGGCGUUAAGUUGCAGGGUAUAGACCCGAAACCCGGUGAUCUAGCCAUGGGCAGGUUGAAGGUUGGGUAACACUAACUGGAGGACCGAACCGACUAAUGUUGAAAAAUUAGCGGAUGACUUGUGGCUGGGGGUGAAAGGCCAAUCAAACCGGGAGAUAGCUGGUUCUCCCCGAAAGCUAUUUAGGUAGCGCCUCGUGAACUCAUCUUCGGGGGUAGAGCACUGUUUCGGCUAGGGGGUCAUCCCGACUUACCAACCCGAUGCAAACUACGAAUACCGAAGAAUGUUAUCACGGGAGACACACGGCGGGUGCUAACGUCCGUCGUGAAGAGGGAAACAACCCAGACCGCCAGCUAAGGUCCCAAAGUCAUGGUUAAGUGGGAAACGAUGUGGGAAGGCACAGACAGCCAGGAUGUUGGCUUAGAAGCAGCCAUCAUUUAAAGAAAGCGUAAUAGCUCACUGGUCGAGUCGGCCUGCGCGGAAGAUGUAACGGGGCUAAACCAUGCACCGAAGCUGCGGCAGCGACACUAUGUGUUGUUGGGUAGGGGAGCGUUCUGUAAGCCUGCGAAGGUGACCUGUGAGGGUUGCUGGAGGUAUCAGAAGUGCGAAUGCUGACAUAAGUAACGAUAAAGCGGGUGAAAAGCCCGCUCGCCGGAAGACCAAGGGUUCCUGUCCAACGUUAAUCGGGGCAGGGUGAGUCGACCCCUAAGGCGAGGCCGAAAGGCGUAGUCGAUGGGAAACAGGUUAAUAUUCCUGUACUUGGUGUUACUGCGAAGGGGGGACGGAGAAGGCUAUGUUAGCCGGGCGACGGUUGUCCCGGUUUAAGCAUGUAGGCUGGUUGUCCAGGCAAAUCCGGAUAAUCAAGGCUGAGGUGUGAUGACGAGGCACUACGGUGCUGAAGUAACAAAUGCCCUGCUUCCAGGAAAAGCCUCUAAGCAUCAGGUAACAUCAAAUCGUACCCCAAACCGACACAGGUGGUCAGGUAGAGAAUACCAAGGCGCUUGAGAGAACUCGGGUGAAGGAACUAGGCAAAAUGGUGCCGUAACUUCGGGAGAAGGCACGCUGGUGUGUAGGUGAAGUCCCUGCGGAUGGAGCUGAGACCAGUCGAAGAUACCAGCUGGCUGCAACUGUUUAUUAAAAACACAGCACUGUGCAAACACGAAAGUGGACGUAUACGGUGUGACGCCUGCCCGGUGCCGGAAGGUUAAUUGAUGGGGUUAUCCGUAAGGAGAAGCUCUUGAUCGAAGCCCCGGUAAACGGCGGCCGUAACUAUAACGGUCCUAAGGUAGCGAAAUUCCUUGUCGGGUAAGUUCCGACCUGCACGAAUGGCGUAAUGAUGGCCAGGCUGUCUCCACCCGAGACUCAGUGAAAUUGAACUCGCUGUGAAGAUGCAGUGUACCCGCGGCAAGACGGAAAGACCCCGUGAACCUUUACUAUAGCUUGACACUGAACAUUGAGCCUUGAUGUGUAGGAUAGGUGGGAGGCUUUGAAGCGUGGACGCCAGUCUGCGUGGAGCCAACCUUGAAAUACCACCCUUUAAUGUUUGAUGUUCUAACGUUGGCCCCUUACCGGGGUUGCGGACAGUGUCUGGUGGGUAGUUUGACUGGGGCGGUCUCCUCCCAAAGCGUAACGGAGGAGCACGAAGGUUAGCUAAUCCUGGUCGGACAUCAGGAGGUUAGUGCAAUGGCAUAAGCUAGCUUGACUGCGAGCGUGACGGCGCGAGCAGGUGCGAAAGCAGGUCAUAGUGAUCCGGUGGUUCUGAAUGGAAGGGCCAUCGCUCAACGGAUAAAAGGUACUCCGGGGAUAACAGGCUGAUACCGCCCAAGAGUUCAUAUCGACGGCGGUGUUUGGCACCUCGAUGUCGGCUCAUCACAUCCUGGGGCUGAAGUAGGUCCCAAGGGUAUGGCUGUUCGCCAUUUAAAGUGGUACGCGAGCUGGGUUUAGAACGUCGUGAGACAGUUCGGUCCCUAUCUGCCGUGGGCGCUGGAGAAUUGAGGGGGGCUGCUCCUAGUACGAGAGGACCGGAGUGGACGCAUCACUGGUGUUCGGGUUGUCAUGCCAAUGGCACUGCCCGGUAGCUAAAUGCGGAAGAGAUAAGUGCUGAAAGCAUCUAAGCACGAAACUUGCCCCGAGAUGAGUUCUCCCUGAGACUUUAAGUCUCCUGAAGGAACGUUGAAGACGACGACGUUGAUAGGCCGGGUGUGUAAGCGCAGCGAUGCGUUGAGCUAACCGGUACUAAUGAACCGUGAGGCUUAACCU
rnacentral:rRNA from 1 species